rnacentral:ncRNA from 1 species
CUAAUUAAAGGGCAAAGUCACUGAAAAGUGAUGACGCAAAGCUAUAGGGGCUUCUGUUAUUUUGACAAAGCCAGCCAGCUACCAUC